AAGCCCACGCUGUUCCUUGGCACUGGGAGAAUUCACAGGAGUUGUAAUUCAUACCCGUGAAUUUCCCGAUGCCUUAGCUCAGUGUGGUCA
rnacentral:pre_miRNA from 9 species